CCCUUAGAUGUCCUGGGCCGCACGCGUGCUACACUGACGCAUACAGCGAGCACUUUCCAGUUCCGAGAGGCUACUGGUAAUCAUCAAUAUGCGUCGUGAUGGGGAUAGAUCUUUGGAAUUCUGGAUCUUGAACGAGGAAUGCCUAGUAAUCGCAGGUCAUUAGCCUGCGAUGAUUAAGUCCCUGCCCUUUGUACACACCGCCCGUCGCUACUACCGAUUUCGAGUGGUCAGGUGAAUCUUUCGGACUGUGGGUGCCCUUGAGGUGUUCGCGGAAAGUCAGGUAAAUCUUAUCACUUAGAGGAAGUAAAAGUCGUAACA
rnacentral:rRNA from 1 species